AUGUUACUUUGGGAAUCAUUCACUUAUAUUCAUCGGCUCUCCACGUAGUUUGCUAUUAAGAUGGUGCUGACUUCUCGUAUAAACUACUCGGGGUUACUAUAAAACUAAAAGUUCAAGGGAUUGGUAUAAUAGGUACUCAUUCUGAUCUGACAUGUUGAGGUUCUUAGAGCGUUGUUAUGGUAAUAAUUUUUGUCUUGAUUUCACUCAAGUUUUAUAAAAUAAGCAACCUUUAUACUUACUGGGUGUGUUAAAUUUCUGUUAUCAUGGCUCAUGAAAAUUUGAGGGGAAUAGAUAAUAGAAAGUUUUCACGCUAGGGACUU
rnacentral:lncRNA from 1 species